rnacentral:misc_RNA from 1 species
GAUGAAGAACGUAGCGAAAUGCGAUAAGUAAUGUGAAUUGCAGAAUUCAGUGAAUCAUCGAAUCUUUGAACGCACAUUGCGCCCGCCAGUAUUCUGGCGGGCAUGCCUGUCCGAGCGUCAUUUCAACCCUCAAGCUCUGCUUGGUGUUGGGCCCUGCCCGCUGCGGCCGGCCCUAAAGACAGUGGCGGUGCCGCCUGGCCCUGAGCGUAGUACAUCUCUCGCUCCAGUGCCCGGUGGUAGCCUGCCAGAACCCCAACUCUCGUGGUUGACCUCGGAUCAGGUAGGGAUACCCGCUGAACUUAAGCAUAUCAAUAAGCGGAGGA